UAAGCUAUAUCCUCUGCUGAUCUGAGCGUUGCAUUGCUGCCGUAUACUUGAAUGCUUAGACCAGAAAGAAAGAAAGAAAGAAAGGACUUAUUAAUCCAGGUGGGAGAGCUCACAACAGGGUCGGGAGCGUCAUCUUGCUUACACAUGUCCCAUGGCACGCCAGUCUCGAGUCCCACUGCCAUUUCUGCUGCCCAACGAACAUAAGAUGGGCCCUUCUCCCCAAACGCCGCUUCUAUAUUCUGAGCUGGAAGAAGGGUGGAUUUGAUGACACACUAUUUCGAGAUUUUCAAGAGGAUCGGAGCACACUCGAGGGAGUCAUUACCUUAAAGGGUUCGUUAUC